AAAAUGGCUGAAUAUUAGGCAAUAAAUUGUAAAUUUAUCUAUAAAUAUAUAAAUAUAUUUUUUUACUA
rnacentral:tRNA from 1 species